AUGGAUUUGGCAGAUAUAGAGGGAUUUGGAGACAAGCUCUGGUCAAGUGACAAAGGUCAGACUUCCCAUGUGCCCAUCAGCUCAAAGUCCUGUUGCUAUCUAAAGGAAGAGGUUCACUUACUGACACUGCUGAUACAGACGGCCGAUGUCGAGAAAGAAACAAGAACAUCCAUCCUUCCAUUUCCCAGCCCUUCCAGUUCAGGGUCGUGGGGGAGCUGGAACCCAUCGCAGCAAGCAGUGGGCACCCUGGACAGACACACACUCACACCAGGGCUCCCCAGAAGCCAACUGACCUACUGUACCAGCAUGUCUUCGGACUGUGGGAGGAAACUGGAGCACCUGGAGGAAACCCAAGUGAACACAGGGAGAACAUGCAAACUCCACACAGACAGCACCCCAGGAAUCGAACCCAGGACCCCACCGUACCAGCCGGUGAUGAUGAUUCCAAACACCCACAACUCUCUGUGUACAGAACUGUCUCCUGUCCUGAAUGUUGCAGAGACUAAUUUCCGUUUGUAUCUCCACCGGCCCUUGUACUCCUGCUGCUUCUGGAGGAGAUGCCUGAGCGCAUUUGGCCUGUGGCCUCUGGGAUUUUCAAGAUCUGAGUAAGGUUCCCCACAGAAUCGUCUCUUUUCCAGGCUAAUUUGGUUGCCUUAGUCCAGCAGUGCCUAACUCCGGUCUUCAAGAGCCGCUGUCCUGCAGGUUUUAUAGGACUCUGUAAAUACAAAGCUUCCAAACUCAAGUUAAGCGAUUAAUUAAUUGAUUGAUAGGUUGAUUGAUUAAAUAAUGGCUCGGGUGGAAGGAAAACCAGAAACGGCCUAGUUCUGGAGUUGUGCCCCCUUGCCUCAGUCUAUCUGAAUCUCUCUCUCUAUCCAUUCCCUGCAGGACAGGAUGUAGUUUGGUUCUGCUUUGUACUGUCUCUGGAGUGGCAAUGUCUUUCAGUCGUUUCACACAGGACCACAGGGAGGCCGCUUGCUCUAGCUACCCGGUAUGUCCACCACCAAAGCACAAACACGAACACAAACAAGCCCAGGGCGUCACUCUGUGAGUGGGCUGACACGCAGGACUGACGCCUCACAGUUUGUUUCGGGAACAGACAGAGGGUGAGAGUUGGGGGGGGGACCCCCAGCAGUCUUCUCCAAUGUGGGAGAGGAGGAGGGGGGCUUCUGAGGGGCGACGAUGAGAACAGUUUUCACAGCCCAGCUCGCCCUCCCUCACUGGCCUUGUGGACACUGAGAAGACUGGCUGCUUAGCUGUGCUUGUGUAGUGCAUGUAGUUAAGUGUAGUGUGUUCCCCAUCAGUGUGUCUUUCACUGUGUGUGUAUCAGUGUGCCACUGUGUGUGUAUUAGUGUGUCUGUCAAAGUGUUUCUGUCACAGUGUGUCACUGUGUGUGUAUCAGUGUGUCUCUCGCAGUGUGUGUCACUGUGUGUCAGUGUCUGUGUAAAUGUCUGUGUACCGGUGUGCGUGUCAGUGCGUGUGUGUCAGUGUGUGUAUCAGACUGUGUAUCAAUGUGUGUCAGUGAGUGUGUGUCAGUGUGUGUAUCAAAGUUUGUAUCAGUAUGUGUGUGUCUAUCUGUGUGUGUUGUAUGUGUCAGUGUUUGUGUGUCAGUAUGUAUCGGGGUGUCAACCUUUGUGUGUCAAUGCAUAUCAGUGUGUGUCAGUGAGUAUAUAACAGUAUGUGUAUGUGUAAGUGUUUAUCAGUGUGUGUCAGUGAGU
rnacentral:lncRNA from 1 species